rnacentral:lncRNA from 1 species
AGCCCUUCUGCUAGCUCAUUAAAACCAAAAUGAAUUGCAUGAUGAAUCAUAUAAACAUAAAUGAAUUGGAAUGGUGAAAUAGAAAAAAUAAGAAUCAUUUGGAAAUGAUUAAGGUUUUCUCGAAAAUUAAAAUGAAAAUUGAAAAAUGAAUGUGGUUUUUUCCAAAAUGAAAAUGAAAAUGUAAAAUGAAAAAUGAAAAUAACUUGAAAAAUGAAUAUAUGUUUUUCGAAUAAUUGAAGUUCGAAAGUGGA